UUUCACUGUUAUUACAGGCUGUUGCACUACUUCCUCCUUUUUGCUUCACUUUGUCGCAGUGUUCUCUCUCUCAUUCACCUUGUUCUCUGAUCUCUCUCUGUAUCCAUGUUUCUAACAUUGGAUUUCUUACGAAGUUCAUACAUUUUGUGGCUUAUUUGUUUCAUGUCUGAGCUCUCAGUUGUGGUAAGUGUUUUUUUCACCUAACUUUUCUUAUUCUACUUGAUUUUGAGCAAAUUUUCCAUUUUUAAAAAUCUAAUCUAGACAUGCAUAUCUAGAAAUAGAUACUUCAAUGCGUAAUUAGUCCGUCCGUCCUUUCCCUAUUUCCACUGCUAUUGCAAGCUUUUGCAAAUGAAGAGCUUUCGUCCCACUAACAAUUACCAAUGAGGAAACAUGGAGCUACUUUUUCCCUUUCUGCUUCCUUCUUUGCUUUGCUGCUUCUUCCUCUUUGUUUUUUCCUUUUUGAAUUUGAUCAUAGACAUAGUUCUGCAUAAUAUUUUUCUACAUUGUUUAUAUGCAUGUAUUAUUUCUUUUGAUCCAGUUGUAAUAAUUUUGGGUGAAAAUUGAUGAACCGAAGGUGUUCGAUGAUAUGCCUGAAACAACUAAAUCAUUUGGUAAGGUUCUUUGCAACAUAUAUUUCUUGAACAAAACGAGCACUCAAAAUAUUGAUGAAUCUUCUUUGUCGCUCAUCCGUCUGAAUUAUUUUCCCUGCUCUUGCUUUUGAGGAUUUUGGAUGUUCGUUUUUAUUUCAAAAUUAACCAUUUAAGCUUCAAGGUUAUUAGAAUUUGAAGAGAGACUUUUGGUUUUAUUGUUCUUUCAGCUUGUUUCGAGCUCAAUUUUGUACAUUCAUGUCACUGAUUGAUUGAUUUUACAUAUGCAUGUGUACCUAUAUGAGGAUUGUUGUUCUUAUUUCCAAUCUAUUUUCCUUAGCUUACUUGGAGUAAGAUUCUCCAGUAGAGAUUGUGUAUCUCCAAUUUUAAUAUAAGGGGGAUAUUUAUUUUUAUUCUAUCAAAUUAGAUGCUUAAUUACCCUCAUAAAUAAAUUGAACAUAAUUCUGCUCACUAUAACAAUAACAAUACACAUGGUGGGAUUUGCAUAGGGUAAAGUGUACCCAAACCUUACCUAAAGUUACGUCCAUUACAAAACCUAUGAAUUUAAAUAGGAAUGCAGACAGAGCUGAACACGGAACAAAGUAAUUGUCUAAGAUAACUUCACUCAUUUUACCUGCAAAAAUUUGUCAAGUAUAAAGUUCUUCUUCCACUUUCUGAAAUUAGAAGAUCACAUAUAAAUAUUUGUUCAUAGCUUAGUGUAAUUGCUCUCCGUUGUUUUUAUUUUCCAUGAUGAAAAAUUUCCAACUCAUUCUUAAAGUAUCUUGAUUGUGCAAUUUACAAAUAUUGUAACAAGUGAUUGUCUCGGUGACUCUUCUAGAUUGUUGCAACAUUGAGCUGUUGAACUGAUUGGAGUUCUAACGUUUUUAUAUACCACCUGAACAAACAAGAACAUCCCCGCACAAUGAAAGAGGCUUAUGGAAAGCAUACCAAACGAUGUAAAAUAUAUUGUGAUAUGUCAUUAGCUGAAAGUGCCUUUAUUUCCCGUUUAUCUUUCUACCGAGUACCGAGUAGCUAGCACUUUCCGACCAUUUCCUCUACCUCUACAAUUAGCACUAGGAAGAUUUCUCCUGACACAAGGUAUAUUUUUUGCUCAAUUAUAACUUAUUUAGGAAUAAGACGUAGUUAUUAUUGUAAUCUCACCUUCAUUUAUUUGUACAGAGAUUGUGAGGAAAUCAUGAAUUUAAGUUUACUGAACCUCACCACUUUUUCAUGUAAAGAAUUGGAACCUACUCUAACUGAAAUAUCAUCCUGCGUUUCUGGUGUACAUGCAAAACCGAGUUUUGCUUAUGGAUGAAGCUGUGGACUGUUACUAUGUUUUUUUAAAAGUUCCUGCAACCUUUUUUACCGUGUCUUCUUCCUCUUCUGGACUUAAUAUAUCUUUGUCUAUUUUAAUGGUUAUUAUAGAAGCAUUUUGUAUUACGCUUAUUAUCAAAAAACUAAUUUUGGUCUUUCACUAUUUUUUGGAAUAAGUAACUUACUUAGGACUUCCACUUAUCAUUCAUAAUUUAUAGUCAGUUCUGCUUUUCUUAGAGUUGAAGGAGAAAUAGAGAAGGUGAAGGAUCUCGAGUUCUCAAUUGUGCUUUGUAAAGGUAUGCUCUCAGGUGGUAAUAUAAUUAUAUCGGGUAGCUACUAGGUUUCGAUUCCUAUAUAGGUAUUAAAUGAUUAUUAUGAAAGCAUUUUCUCCCUGUUUGUUCUACUUAUAUUUAUAUUUCUCUUCUUUUAUAAUAAGUGUGAGCUUGUGGAAAUUUCCAGACAGGUUGGAUGAAAGAUACAUCUUUUAGAGCUUGUGGAAAUUUUCGGAGGUUCGGAAGUGUCUUACUUAUACGUCCAUAGCCAGGUUGAAUGAAAGAUGGAUCUCUCAAAGCUUGAGGAAAAAUAUCAUCAUCUCUAGAGGUUUGAAAGUUGGAAUAUGUUUGUUAGAAUUAUUACAAACAACUCUUCAUUUGAAGGACACUUCAUAAUCGUUUGAAUAUUUCUGUAAACUUUGUUCCUCAAUCCAAGUAAAUAUUGUGAAGUGUUAAUAUGUUGUACACAUGAUACUUAUGCUUUCUCUUUUAGUAUUUUCAUAAUGAAUUUCUUUUUAUCAA
rnacentral:lncRNA from 1 species